rnacentral:rRNA from 1 species
UACGGAGGGUGCAAGCGUUAAUCGGAAUUACUGGGCGUAAAGAGCUCGUAGGUGGUUUGUCGCGUUGUUCGUGAAAACUCACAGCUCAACUGUGGGCGUGCGGGCGAUACGGGCAGACUUGAGUACUGCAGGGGAGACUGGAAUUCCUGGUGUAGCGGUGGAAAUGCGCAGAUAUCAGGAGGAACACCGGUGGCGAAGGCGGGUCUCUGGGCAGUAACUGACGCUGAGGAGCGAAAGCGUGGGGAGCGAACAGG